UGGGGUGUAGCUCAGUAGUAGAGCACGUGCGUAAGAUGCCCGAGGGCCUUGGUUCAAUCCUAAGUGCCUCCA
rnacentral:tRNA from 1 species